GCCGGGUGUGGUGGCGCACGCCUGUAGUCCCAGCUACUUGGGAGGCUGAGGUGGGAGGAUCACCUGAGCCCAGGGAGGUUGAGGCUGCAGUGAGCCGUGAUUGCAUCACUGCACUCCAGCCUGGUGACAGAGUGAGAUCCUGUCUCUA
rnacentral:SRP_RNA from 1 species